GCUCUCUCCCCCUCUCUCUCCCUAUGUUUCUCUCUGUCUCUCUCUCCUUCCUCUCUCUUCCCCUCCCCUUCUUCCCUUUCUUCUUCCUGUAUGCACAAUACCAUGUGAUUAGCCAGCUGUCUACUCUUGCUACCACACCAUGCCUCCCUGUCAUUCUGGACUCUAGCCCUCUGGUACUGUAAGUCCAAAUGAACUCUUCCUUAAGCUGGUUUUGUUGUUGGUGGUGGUGGUGGUGGUUUGGGUUUUUGUUGUUGUUUGUUUUUGGUUUUUGGGUUUGUUUGUUUGUUUGUUGUUUUGGUCAUGAUACUUUUUUUAAAAUCACAGCAACAAAAAAGAUAUAACUAAUACAGCAAGUUCUGUAACUAAUACAGAAGUCUUAUCAAGUGGAAAGAGAAACAGUUUCUAGAAAGCUAGGAAAAGAGCACAAAUGACACCAAAUGCUCAGUAAAGGCUUCAAAGCACUUAUAAUGAAAGGAGGACAAGGCCCCACUUCACAGCACCCAACAAAAUGGCAAAGUUGCUGAGACCAGGAACACCAGCUCCUGAGAGGUAAGAAAUAACCUUUCCCGUGCUUCUAUGUACUAAGUUUCCACUGUGCACAGCACUCCUGCAGUACCUGGUAGAGCCAUGCACACCGUAACCCUCAACUCAGUUGUGACUCAGAAGAAAGCUUGACUGUAAGCAAGACCAUGAAUGGGCGUCUUAGUGUUUUCUGUUGCUAUGACAAAAUACCUGAUAUUUUAUGCCGAAAAAUGGUUUAUUUGCUCACAGUUUUUCAGACCCUGGAGCAUGGUACUAACAUCUCUUGAUAAGGGCUUCAUGACUGCAUCACAAUGUGGACGAUGGCUUCAUGAUGCUCUAGGAACCCCGGGUCUGUGGCUACUGGAAACAAGACUCUUAUCCAGACAAGGCCCUCUGAAGGCUGUGUAGGACAGCCCCUCUAGAAAGAAGAGUGACAAGUGCCAGCCUGAGCUGUAAAAAUACUCCGUUAUUUGUGGCUGUCUUACACAAAAUUGCAAAUAAGACAAAUAUCUGUGAGCACACAUGGCCUACUGGCACUUGGCCUUGUUGCUCAAGGCUGGGACAACUUCCUUCCUGUCUGUACCUGAGAUCUCAGAAGCUGGCUGGUUCUACUACUGGAGGGAAAGAAUGCUUCCUAUGGAGGCACUUGGCCCAGUUCCACAGAGAUGAAAGUAGAUGUCUGUUUCCUGUGUUGACCGUGGUCAUCUCUACACUCCCAUACCAACACCGGAUCUGUACACAACUGUAGUGAGAAGAAAUACUUUGGGUGAUGAUGACUUUUGGAGAUACUAUAGAAUGAGCCCGUCUUCACAAGGAGGUGCCACGUGGCCAUCACUGGAGUUGCAUGUAGCCUGGAAAUUCAGCCUGAUAGCCUAACCCUUGCCCAGGUCCCAGAACAUCACACCAUGAACCCAUGGAGAUGCCUUGACACUGGAGCUGAACUUCUCUGCCUGUUCCCACUUAGCCAUGGCCUCAGAGGUUCCUGCAUGUUCAUCCUAUGACAUAAUACUGCAGCAGAGAGAGAAAUACAAGAUCAAGGGCCCACAGCCAGCCCACAAAGCCAAGAAUGGAUUCCACUCUGUCUCUGAUGCCCCAGAUGUCACUUAUUUGGCCUGGCCCUCAAACAUGCAAGAGGUUAUAUGUACUUGUUCAUGAAAAUAUGCACAUGGGUAUGUGCAUUCAUUAUCGAGCAUAAACACUUAUGUACAUGUUUCUGUAUGCAGAAUCACUCACGUUCUGUUGUGUGGAACGUGCAUCCUGGUGUGCACAUGCAUAUACACAUGCAUGUGUGCAUAUGGUCUCAAGGUUUCCUCCUUUUCUGCAUCAGAUUGUCAGGCAUCAGCACUUUGAAUUCACAAACAAUCAUUUGGCUGAUUAAAUGGUUGUUAAAUGAUUGUUUAACUGAAUUUUCAUCCGAAGGCUCAGCUGUGUAGUAUUACUUCAUGUCACCCAGAACAGAACAUCCUUCUGAGGCAAUGCAUUAAAAACCCAGGCACCAAUGUCCACUGAUUCUGU